CUCUUUUUCGGUGGCCAGCACUAUGAAUUCGUGCUACGACGCUCGAUUCAGCCAGAAGGUGGCACCAAGUGUGAUCAGAAGCCAUGCCACUGGUGAAGAGGUAUAUUGAACCCUGCCUGGCCCAGUGAGGUUACUAGAGAAUUGGGAGAGGCUUAGAUCAAUGUCCUGCGCAUGGUUAUCUACUCAUUGUGAAGUCUUGUCACAGAAGCUGCAAUGAAUUCUCUCAUGGCCCUGAAGUAUGGUUUGUUCCCAUGGAAAAGAACCUAACAGAAGAUUGAUAGCAUGGACAUGUUGUUUCUGGCAUCAGGGAUGAGGGAGACCUUUAGAAACAACUUGUCAAGUCCUCACCAUGAAUACCAUUGGAAUUGCAGUUGGAAUGGCAUUGAAUGCGUAGAUUUAAUUUUUGGAGAGCUAUCAUCUUUAUAAUCUCCUCAUACAUGAAUGUGAAGUGCUUCCUCCAUCCUGCAAGCUUCUGGGAACUCAGUGCCCAUUGUAUACAGGAUAUGUACCCAUUGAAGACCUUCAUGCCCUCCAAUAUAAGGCUAACUGUGUUCUCACUACAGAAGUUUAGAAUCAGAGAGUUUCUUCUCUCUGCUGCCUUUUGAGCUGCGGCACUAUGCUGGGAGAUGGGACUAUGGAGACGAAUUUAGGCACAGUCCCUGCCCUCAGGUGUUCUCAGUCCAGUGAGAGGGUUCGACGUGUACACAAAUAAUUACAACAGUAUGGUAUGCUCUACAGUGGAGAUGUUGCAUGGCUGCCGCUGCCGCUGCCCCUUCUACAGUUGCUGCUGGUUGCUCCUUGGGUAGGACCAAAGUGAUCAUUGAUCAGAAACUUCAUCCUCACAGUCUGGGGUUUGCUCCUGUGGCUGGUAUUCACAGUUUCCCCUUUCAACUUUACCUCAGCUAUCCCCUUACCUACCACACUGACAGGUAGGCCUCCCCUUUCCGUUCACCACCCAAAAGGCUCAUAUUUCUUUUCUUAUUUCGUAUGAUUAAUUGUUCUUGUUCCAUGAGAAGCCUUCUUUCUAUUAGAAGAUGUGACAACUAGAAUACAAGUUAAAUGAUUCCAUCAGGGUGCUACAGUGAGUCAUAUAAGCUUCCCCUCUACUGUGGGAGAAAAUUGCAGAUUUUGGGGCAGGAAGAACUGAGAAGGGAUGUGCGUUGUAGAUGUGGGAGAGGAAGACGAUAGCAGAUGGAAUAAGAUCCUGGGAAACAAUGUAGGUUGGGAGGGUGAAACCUGUGGCUCUAAAAUAGGGAUGGAGGGUUGAUAGCCUUGGUUGAAAGGAGUUUACCUCCUCACUGGAGCAUAGGGAUGGGAGUCAGGAAGAGUAGCUGAGAGGGUUGUUGAAGAUUUGUAAUUGCUGAGGUGAGUGAUGGAGAGGAAGCUGACCCGGGACAGGAUUAUGGAGACAAACCAAAGUCUAAGGACUAUUCGGGCCAAAAGGCUGGAGUGGGGCCUUUUGGUAUGUUAAAGUGAGAUACUACCAUAUUAAAUGAUAGAUGAUACAUUCAGUUAAAGUGAGAAGCCAGUUUAAAACGUGAUUAGAAACUCAGGAAAUUAUAAAGUGGUCUUAGGCCACUGUCACAAGUAAAUUUGAUUGCCUGGGACCAACCUUUAUUGACUGAGGAGUGGACAGCUAGCAAGAGAAGGGUUACACAGAAAUGAAUUUGGAAAUCCAGACUAUGUGUGGAAGGCAGUUAGGUCAGAAUUGAGCUCAAAAGUCUGAAUACAAAGAGGACUUGGUGUGAUCAAGAUGGGUGUGGAAUAGUUGGAAAAUUGCAAUAAUAGGACCUGUAAUCAGAGAGUAGAUUUUUAGAGAUUUCAGAACUGGAGUGGUCAAGAUACUUGUGAAACUGGGAUGUCAGAUGGUCAGCUACAUAAAUACUGAAGUGAGCCAGGAUUAUAGCAGAAGCCAGACUGGGAACAAACACUGGGGGCCAGAUAGAAUAGGCUUUGGUGCCUGAGGAAUGGUUAGAGGUUGGCUCAUGGCAGCGGUGCAGGUGCAAAAGAGGAAAGGAUGUGGCGGGAUAGUAGUAGGAGCCGCAAAAGAGUGGCAAGGAUUAUUAGAAGUUACAAAAAAAAUUUAAUUUGCACAUUGCACUGUGGUGUUAGCUUGCAGAACGCCCAGCUAAAACGAUCCCCUCAUUUACUGAGCUCCCGCUCUCUCCCUGGCAUCUUGCUCUGUACUCUCCAUUUACCCCCUUUGGGUCUAUCACAUACCAGGUGUGAGAGAAUGAGCAGCGGUCCCAAGCAAGGAUAGCUAGGGUAGCUGCUGGCCCUCAGAACUGAUGGAAUGCUGUGGUCACCUCAGCAGACUGGGCAGCUUGAAGUGGCAUAAAAAGAUUUCCUUAGGAUCAAAAUUUUCCCUUGAUAUUGACCUAACUUUAUUACAUGGUAAAAGCUCGUGUUGGCUGUUCCAUAAUGUACUCUGGCUUCCAAGCCUCUGAGUUGGGGGAGUAUGCUGGUACUGUCCUUUAAAAAACAAAAACAGGCACAACACUUGAAAAAACACACAUAUUGAUUAACUCUAAAAUAAGAUACUCUGGUUAUCUAUUUGAGCUUUUAAGAUAAAGGAUAGAUCAAGGAAAGCUCACAUUGAUGGGUGAAUAACAAAACCACUUUGGAAAACCACUCUGAGGUCAGGAUUGUCCAGUUUAGUGGACUUACUAUAGAUAACUGCUGUGCUGUUGGGAAGGAGGGCUAGAAAUUGAGGCAGAAAAUGUCCCUUAGGACCCAGAAGGUCAAGUUUAGGAGAGGAGAGUCUCUCUGUGAACCCUGUGACAUUGCAUGUAGUCAUUUUUCUUCAGUUACAGUCUUCACAUGAGCUAUGAAAUUUCAAUGAAGGUUUAGAGCCACUGUUACAGAGAGACCAGGCCCUCAGACAGCCCAUCCCCUUCUUUGGGGGCUGCUUUAUAUUUAUUCCUCAGGAGGAUCUGGUAGAAGACUUCGUGGGGGGAGAAGAAAAGGCAAGAACCGGACAAGGACUACAGCCUGUCUUCAUCUCAACUUCACAAAGCCUGAUUCAGCAGAGGGAUCAUCCUCUUGAGACUCUCCAGACCACAGGCCACCUGUGACAGUCGUCACCUGGGAGGAGCCUUGUUGUGAAUGAGUGAAUGAAGCCUCAUUGAGUGAGUGGAGUGGCACUCAUGUUUUUCUCUAAAUAUAAGGAGAGGGAAGGAGGCCAUGAAAUCCCAUAAUGGAGUAACAAAAAUUUGACAUUUUAGUAGAUACUGGACCUAGAAGCCUACAUGAAUGAAGGAAACAAACCUGAGAGAUCUUGGAUGUGAGUGAGUGAAGAUAGGAGUGAACUCCUUAUUACCCUGAGUAAUGGAGGAAGAGGGGAAAAAAGUGUGAGGGAAGUCAAAAUCCUUUAUGUCCCCAGAGGAGGCCCUGAAACUAGCUUCAUAAACCAGUGACUUUUUAAGGUGGAUUAAAGAUGAGGUGUUGCACCGCACUACUUCCGUUGCUGUUUGUGUUGAGAGUUGCUGUUCCAAGCCAGUUUCUCAGGUACAGCUGCCUUUGUGGAGACUCCUCUUGACCCCUAUUGAGAAACAGCCCAGAACGAGGUGUUCAUCUGCAGAAUGAGUCCAGUACUUGAAGAAGUAAGAGGACAAGAGGCAUCCAGGGGACAACAGUGUGGUCUUCUAAGUGAAGAUGGCAACAGAAAAGAUCAUGGACUUGGCUGGAUUGGGCUGGGCUUAUUUGUUGUUUCAGAAUUUAAAAAAUACUUUUUUUUUCUUGACAGUAAAAGUAACAGAUGAUCAUUGUUGAAAAAUCAAAGGUAUAAAUUAAAAAGUCAAGAACACCUAUAAUCUUAUAACCCAGAAAACAACUCAACAUUUGAGUGUUGCCUUUUGCCCUUUUAAAAAAGAAUGUCUGCAACACAGUUUUUCACAUUUUUAUUUUAAUUUCAGUUAGUAAACAUACAGUGUUCUGUUCAUUUCAGAUGUACGAUUUAAAAACAAAAUUGACAUCAUAUUGCAUAUGUUGUUUUCCAUUUUUCUUCAUUUGAAAAUAACGUAUUUCCAUGUCAUUACCAUUCUUUGAAAACACAGUAUUGGUACAUGGUAUUUCAUAGGGAUCUAACAAAAUUUAGGUAGGUAAUUGAAUGCUGCUGGACAUUUUGCAUAUUACCAAUUUUGCCUAUAAAAUGUAAUAAACGUAUGUUAAUCACUG